AUUCCCUUUGUUGUUAUUUAUUUGUCAUCAUCUAUCAUUUCCUUUACCCUUUUUAAUUUUUGUGUUUACCCAAAUAUCUUUUACACCCAUUCCCCUCCCUCCCCCCUCCAACUUUACCAUUCCCAUUCCCCUCUCAUUACCCAUCACUCUCUCUCCUCUCUUACCCUAAAAAAUUCCCAGCAGCCGUCACCCCUCACCGGAGCUCCGGCCACCACGACAACCAACUGAGAUUGUACACCGGCGACCAUAUCCGGCCGAUCCCCACAAGCUACGAUCUUUGGCGACCGUAAUAUUCAUGUUUUCGUUCUAGAUCUACCUUAAUCAUGUUGUUUUUUUGUUUUAUUCUUAAAUUGUUGGGUAAUUUAUACAUUAUUCCUAAUUCUUGAGGAAUUGUUCACGUUAUCAGCCACCUCCAUAGUGAUUGAUGUUAAUUUGUUGUUCAGUGUUGCGAUUUGAAGGGUUUACCAUACUGAUUUUUUUUUGGUUGUGAAUUACGAAACAAUGUAUAUUUGUUGAUUUUUUUUCCUCCUUGAAUGAAUGAUAAUUUGAUGUUUAUAUAUACUAAUGUUCAUGUAUAUGUAUAUAUUUGUUUAGCUUGAGAUUUUUAUAUAUCUUGAGUAUAAAUGAUAUGUAAAUUAGUCAAUGAUAUGUUGUUGUUGAUGUUCUUUUCUACAGAAAAUGGCUAGAAUUGAUACUUCUUUGAAAAGGAAGAGAAAUUGGGACUUUAUUCGGUUCAUAAUUACUAUGAUUAAUUGUGUUGUGUUGCUAAAUUUGAUGUGUUACUCAAUGAGAAAAACUAUAUACAAUUCCCAUUAUCUUAAGCUAGAUAAAAAAAAUAGAAGGAAAAUGAGAUUGCACAACUUGAAUAGAAUGAUUAGAGAAAGUGACACUUUGUGUAGGAACUAUUUUCGUAUAAAUCGAUACACAUUUGGUGUACUUUUAGAAAUGGUUAGAGAUAUUGGUGGAUUCAAUGAAACAAGAAACACAUGUUUGGAAGAGAUGGUUGCGGGCUUCUUAUACACAUUAGCUCACGAUAAGAAAAAUAGAAUGAUUGGUGCACAUUUUUAUAGAAGUGGUGAAACUAUUAGUAGACAAUUUCAUUCUUUUUUGUUAGCAAUGUUAAAGUUACAUAGUAUUCUUCUUAAGAAACCAACUCCAAUACAAGAGGAUUGCGACGAUGAAAGGUGGAAAUAUUUCAAGGUGCCCUUGAUGGUACAAUGAUUCUAGUUAAUGUUCCUUGUGAAGAUCGAUCCAAAUAUCGCACUAGAAAAGGUACCCUUGCUAUGAAUGUACUAGGAGUAUGCUCACCCGAAAUGGAAUUUAUAUAUGUCUUACCUGGUUGGGAGGGAUCGGCACAUGAUGGUCAGAUUCUUCAAGAUGCUAUUUCUAGGCCUAAUGGGUUGAAAGUUCCAAAAGGUAAUUUGAUUGACGUAGUAGACUUUAUUUGAAAUUGACUUAAUAAGAGAGUAAUUUUUAAAAAAAAAAUUGUCAAGGUUGUUAUUAUCUAUGUGACGGAGGAUAUACUAAUGGAGAGGGAUUCCUUGCACCAUAUAUAGGGCAUCUUUAUCAUCUUAGAGAAUGGAAUAAUGGCCCCCGUCAACCUUAAACCGUCGAAUAAUAUUUCAACUUAAGGCAUGCAAAAGCUAGAAAUGUGAUUGAGAGAUGCUUUGGGAUACUCAAGGGAAGAUGGGGAAUUCUUAGAAGUCCUUCUUGGUUUAGGUUACAAACUCAUGGUCGAAUUGUGCUUGCUUGUGUCUUAUUACAUAACUUGGUAAAAAGAUACAUGCUUGAAGAAUUUGAUGAUGAUGACUUGUUUGAGGAAAGUGAUAGUGAUGAUGAUGAUGGUAAUGCUAGUGAUGAAGAUGAUGUGGAGUACAUAACCUCCAUUGCUGUAACCGAUCCAUGGACUAAUUUUCAAAAUACAAUGGCCCAAAAUAUGUUCAAUGAUUGGAGGACUAGACACCGCAGAGUUACUUUGUGAUAUUUUUAUUGUUUAUUAAACAACAUUGUAUUUGUUAUUUGAACUUGAGACUUGUAUCUUUAUUUCAAUUUCGUGUUUUUUUUUUAUUGUUGUACUAAGUCAUGGAUGUUGUGUUGGACUUAUAAUAAUUUCCUUUAUGUACUUGUAUUGAAUAUUUUGUUUGUUAAUUUCAUUUUUAUAUAUAUGCAAUGUUAUUUUGACAUGUUAAUAUGGUUCAAAUGUUUUAGUAGGAUGGAUGAAAGUAGUGGAGGUGGAAAGGGAAAAAAUAAACGAUUUUGGACCGCUCAAGAAGAUAAAGUUCUUGUAGAAGUAUUGUCAGAGCUAGCUAUUGAUCCUCAUUGAAAGUGUGAAAAUGGGUUCAGAAGUGGCUACAUGGUUUGCUUAGAGGAGAUCAUAGGUAAGGCUCUUUCUGGUUGUGGGUUGAAGGCUAUGCCACACAUCGAUUCUCGACUAAAGACACUUGGAGCAAAGUUUAGGGCUAUUUCUACUACGUUAAAUACAAGUGGAUUUGUUUGGGAUGAUUCCAAAAAAAAUGGUUUCUGUGGACCGGGCUGUUUAUGAUGAGUUUUGCAAGAAACAUCCAAGCUGCAAAAACUUGUAUGGAGUUUCAUUUCCCCACUUCCAUGAACUCAUGAAUGUUUAUGGCAAGAAUUAUGCAACUGGAAAACCAGCCCCCCACAGGUUUUACUCUAUUCAAGUGAUGAUAAGGGAGUUGCUGCUAGUGGUAAUGUCACUCAUACCGUUACCUUUCCUCCUUCAAAAAAGAUGAAGACUGAAAAAACUUCCAAAAAAAAAAAAGAAAGAAAAAGGUGGAGCUGGAAGUAAUGAGUUGGCUAGCUUACAAGCAUUCAUGAAAGACAUGAAUGUUCAUCUUUCCACUAUGGCAAAUGUGAUGGCACGCACUGAUGAUCGUGAACAACAUGCGGAUGAAAGAGAGCAAAAAUUAGUUGAAAAGAGUGAGCAAGUGCUAGAGGAACUACUCUCUUUCAAUUUAGAAGGUGUCACGGAAUCCCAAGUUUUUGAAGUGGCUAACAUUCUAACCGCACAACCAAACAAGCUCAUGGUAUUUUCAAAGUGUCCCGACGUUUUGAAAAGUGCUUAUGUUAAGAGUCUUCUACGAGGAAGUGGAAAUGGUGAUGCUUAAAUCUUAUGUGGUGGUUUCAUGUAUGGUUUUUAAUUAGGUUUUAUUCACAAGCUACUACUUUUGGCAUGAACUUUAUCUAGAAAGGAUUAUUAGCAAAUACUUAGGUUGAAUGUUAAUCUUAUUAGAACACUUUUGGUAUGAACAUUUAUUUAGGAACACGUACUUUGCAUUGGUAUUAUUUUCGCCAAGAGGUGAUUACUUGGAUUUGUAAUCAAUAGAGCUAGAAAGAUAUUAUUUGGAGAUA